UUUUGACGUGUGUUAAUGUGUGCUGACUUGUUUCUCUGCUACGUUUAAUCGGUGCUCUCGUCUUUGACGAUAUGCUGUUUGCUUUGGCGUUUGCAGUCUGUGCAUCACAUUGCAAUGUGCAGCUUUGCAGGCUGCUUUGGGUCGGUCAGUACCAGCUGGUCGGCAUUCAACCCGCUGAGCAAAAACACCCCAUUACAAUUCACCGAAAACAGUCAAGUAUCAGGGCCGGGCUUAAAGAAUUGGAAAUAGACUGAACGCCUGGACCUUUUUGGGCACGGCGCUGCCAAUGCCAGGAAAAACUAUGUUGAAAUCUUCUUGACAGAUUCUCUGAACUUCUGAUUUGAUAAAAGUGAACAUGUCGUCAGUUGUGUUUUACAUAAUGAGGAUGCGUUCGUUUCCGAUGUUUCCCAUGUUUUUUCUGACUAGAAAAUCAGUAUUUUAACUUUAGUUUUUAACAGAACGGUCCGUGUAACUUCCGUUCAUUCUAUUUCGAAUUCUUAAAUGCAAAUCAAAAAAACAA